rnacentral:misc_RNA from 1 species
CCGAAUUGUCAACACGAGUUGUUGCUGGUCCCCAAACCGGGGGCAUGUGCACACUCUGUUUACACAUCCACCCACACCUGUGCACCCUCUGUAGUUCUGUGGCCUGGGCGACUUUGUCCCCUUGCCCGUGGUUCUACGUCUUUACACACACACUGCCAUAAAGUCUCAUGGAAUGUUUGCCGCGUUUAACGCAACACAAUA